rnacentral:rRNA from 1 species
GACGAACGCUGGCGGCGUGCCUAAUACAUGCAAGUAGAACGCAGUUUCGAACGGGUGAGUAACGCGUAGGUAACUGCCUCAUAGCGGGGGAUCACUAUUGGAAACGAUAGCUAAUACCUCAUACUGUGCCAUGGACCUUCGUUGUAUUCGCUAGUUGGUGAGGUAAAGGCGCACCAAGGCGACGAUACAUAGCCGACCUGAGAGGGUGAUCGGACACAAUGGGACGGAGACAAGGCCCAGACUCCUACGGGAGGCAGCAGUAGGGAAGCGUCGGCAAUGGAGGGAAGUCUGAGCGAGCAAAGAAGAGUGAGUGAAGAAGGUUUUCGGAUCGUAAAGCUAUGUUAUUAGAGAAGAGGGAAAUAACCAGAAAGAAACGGCUAACUACGUGCCAGAAGCCGCGGUAAGUC